rnacentral:rRNA from 1 species
AACGAACGCUGGCGGCAGACUUAACACAUGCAAGUCGAGCGCCCCGCAAGGGGAGCGGCAGACGGGUGAGUAACACGUGGGAAUCUACCCAUCCCUACGGAACAACUCCGGGAAACUGGAGCUAAUACCGUAUACGCCCUUCGGGGGAAAGAUUUAUCGGGGGUGGAUGAGCCCGCGUUGGAUUAGCUAGUUGGUGGGGUAAAGGCCUACCAAGGCGACGAUCCAUAGCUGGUCUGAGAGGAUGAUCAGCCACAUUGGGACUGAGACACGGCCCAAACUCCUACGGGAGGCAGCAGUGGGGAAUAUUGGACAAUGGGCGCAAGCCUGAUCCAGCCAUGCCGCGUGAAUGAUGAAGGCCUUAGGGUUGUAAAGUUCUUUCACCGAUGAAGAUAAUGACGGUAGUCGGAGAAGAAGCCCCGGCUAACUUCGUGCCAGCCGCCGCGGUAA